rnacentral:lncRNA from 1 species
CCCUUUUUAAGGACACCAGUCAUAUUGGAUUAGGGCCCGUGCUAAUGACCUCAUCUUAACUUGAUUACCUCUGUAAAGAGCCCAUCUCCAAAUAAGGUCACGUUCAAAGGGACCUGGGGGUUAGGACUCCAAGUAGCUUUUUUGGGAGGAUACAGUUCAACCCAUAACAGCUGAGAAAUGGCAGAACCCAGGCAUCUGUGUCAGACCCAAAGGCACUGUCCUUUGGAGGGAGGAAGAUCAUGUAAAUUAAGAACCCAGACUUUCCAGCCAGGCUGCAAGAGUCCAAAUUUCAGGUCCAGAUCAAUAACCAGUGUGGGUACCAUGCAGACAUUUAAAGCUGUACUAUGAGCCAGAUACCAAAAAAGAGACUUGCAGAGGAUCCCCAGGCGCAGAGAUGACGAGACUAACAUCGAGGUGGGGUACUGUUCCCAGAAGGAGAACACGACAAACAUCACCACCUACUUGGAGUCAAAUCAGGAAGCUUUCACAAACAGUGGAGGAAAACCUGGAGAAAGCAGGACAGCCUCUAUGGUAAUCAUGAUACGGUUAUCACCAUUAAAACCUAAAGAAAGCAGGACAGCCUCUAUGGUAAUCAUGAUACGGUUAUCACCAUUAAAACCUGGAGAAAGCAGGACAGCCUCUAUGGUAAUCACGAUGACGGUUAUCACCAUUAAAACCUAAAGAAAGCAGGACAGCCUCUAUGGUAAUCACGAUGACGGUUAUCACCAUUAAAACCUAAAGAAAGCAGGACAGCCUCUAUGGUAAUCACGAUGACGGUUAUCACCAUUAAAACCUGGAGAAAGCAGGACAGCCUCUAUGGUAAUCAUGAUACGGUUAUCACCAUUAAAACCUGGAGAAAGCAGGACAGCCUCUAUGGUAAUCACGAUGACGGUUAUCACCAUUAAAACCUAAAGAAAGCAGGACAGCCUCUAUGGUAAUCACGAUGACGGUUAUCACCAUUAAAACCUGGAGAAAGCAGGACAGCCUCUAUGGUAAUCAUGAUACCGUUAUCACCAUUAAAACCUGGAGAAAGCAGGACAGCCUCUAUGGUAAUCACGAUGACGGUUAUCACCAUUAAAACCUG